rnacentral:lncRNA from 1 species
CUUGUUUUCUAAAUUACCUAUUUUAUUCUUCCUACCUUAACGAUAUUGAAGUUUGAUGUUGUAAAUUUAGUACAAAUAUUUAUGUAGGUAUUUUAAUUGAGUUUUACUACAGAAAGUUAAACAUGUAAAGAGCAUACAGGGUGAUUCUAAAAAAUGUUAAAAAUAAUAAUUUAACCUAACUUUUAUAUUUAAAUAAUUGGGUGAUCGUUUGGACCUUUUAUUGUUUAAAUUAGUCCAGCGUGCACAUUUAAUAUUAUUCGUGGGUUUCCUUUGUGGUUGAGAAUACUUUAGAAUAAAUAUUUUGUUGUGAAAGUGAUCGUGAUCUAAGUUGUUUACGAGGCGUUAUCUUUAUUACCUACUUUCCGGUGGGUUAGAUUUAACACAAGUUUUUCCAUAUUGUUGUUACGUUAAGGAGUAGGUAUUCAUUUAUUAGCAGUUAUCGGUGAUAGGUAGUUUUUUUGUUUUGAUGUAUAGUAGGCGUUUUCUUUAUGUGUUUGAAGUGGGAGUUAAGUACAUUGUGUCCGGAUGGUACUAAUACGUCCGUACACAAGUAUUACCUUUUCGAUGUUUGGUGGUGAGUGGACGAUUUAAAAGUUCUCUUCACGUAGUUUUCUGGGUGCUGGCGUUUUAAACCAGCAUUUCAGCUUCACUGGCUGGUCGGAUUCUUGCGGAUUUAAACGGAGAAUUCUUAAUAGCAGUGUUGUACCCUUGUUGAUGCUUUGCGAUAUGACUUAAAUCAUAUGCGUGAACGUUGGCGUUCUUUUGUGUUGUCGGACCGACAGACUUGCGUCGCCUGAGACGCGGUCUGUACAGUCAACCCUUGUACUUAUGUCUAAUGUUGUGUCGAAACGUUCCGUCUUGUGUCGUACAUAGACGCAGCCGGUAUAUACGCUUCGUUGUUCUGGUGUUAUUGUCUGUUCUUUGUAUUCUUAGCUGUCACCGAUAUUUGUUAGGGAAAUUUCAUUUAGCUAUAAGCCGUCUUCCGUUAUAUCGCUUGGACGUACAGCCCGCUGUCUGGUAUAGCUCGCUGUGCCGCCAAGAAAUAUAGACGAUGCGACGUAAUGUAGUAAUUUACCUAAAAAAAAAAAAGGGGCUAUUCUUAUCUGGUUUAGUGCGUGGGUUCGAUUUGGAUGGUUUUUUUGUUAUCGAUUAUAGAUUUCGAGUUGUAGCUGUUAUAUUACCCAUAUUUCCUGUAGUUUGGAGCUGGGGACCAGCUCAAAAUUUUGCCUGCGUCAAAAUUUUCUCUGGGGAGGGGAGUACUGUAACAAUAUUUUUUCAAACCUCGUAGGUAUAUUUUUAUUUAGCUGAUAUUAUACUCAAGUAACUAUUGGUUUCGUACAGGCAGAGCCAUCUAUCGGCAGGAUUGUAUUGAUAACCCAGUUUGCUGUUAGCUAGAAUGACAAAAGAUGGCGUGUCGAUCGUCGUUAAUUUAUUUCCUUCCAAAAUCCCUUUUGAAUUUUCAUUUAUUAAAAAAUAAAACUCAAUUUAUUAUUGUAUUGUUAGUUUUCGUUCCUUUUUGGAAAUAUUUUAUUACCCUCUUUAAGACAGAAGUUAAAGUUGUUGUCUAUAGGCGAAUGCAUCUCGUCACGUAUCUGUGGGCCGAGCUGUCAGCCGACACUUUGCAUAUUGGAAAGGAUGUAGACGGGUGGUUUUCAAAUUCUUCAGGGCCAAUGCGCCACAUUCUAAUUUUUAAAUCGCGAAUUAAUCGCAUAAUCGUAAGUAUUUUCUUCCAUAUUCGAAUGCAGUUUGUUGUGUUACGUUCAGUGCUAAUUCUUGUGUCCAUUAUUUUCAGAUGAUUUUAUUUUUAUAAAAUUACUGAGGACCCCUUCCAUUGACAUGAUUGCACGGAACCACAAGCCGGCUUCUUUUCUGGAAUGGGUCCUCAGAUUUGGAGGUUAACGUUCGAAGACAGAGCAGAGCUGAUGCUUCCCGAGCCUGGACCGGUGGACAGGAGGCUGUGGCGAUCGGUAUGGAAGAGCUCCCAUUCCGUGGCUGCAGCGGCCACCUCUCCUCAAUUCGGUUAGACGUCCCCCAAGGUCAGAGCGUUCCUCGUUUAUUUUUUAAAAAAGGCGCCCAACAUAAAUUAAUUUUUUAAUUAAUAAUUUACCUUUUACCCGGUCUUCCAGUACCAGAACUACUGACUCACCCCUAUGCUCUAAAUUUUAGGUAUUUGUUUUUUUUUUUAAGUAAAUAGACUGAGCUAGCGAUAUAAUUUAUAAUAAGGGUAGUUUCAUUGCCUACCAGUUAGGCGUUACUAAGUAGUGUAUUAUUACUUUCGAAAUUAUUUUCAAAAAGUAAGUUAAUUAAAAAGUUAUUUUCUAUAUAAA